CAUCAAGUUGGAUAUAAAAGUCCCCACAAGUAUCAAUAAAAGACUGAUGGUGCCUUUUAUUAUUCUUUGGGCUGAAGUGAGAAACUGGAAGGCUAAAAGACAUGCGGAUAAAUGUGACAGGCCGAGUAUGCUCUGUAGUGUCAGCUCCUUCCCAAAACCCCGCUAACACUAUGGCAAAGAAAAGGUAUAAACUUACAAGAACGAAGAAAAAUGGAGAGAAAAAGAUAUCAGAGAAGAAAGAUCAGCAGAACUUGGGAACGUGAAAAGUGGAAGGCUGAGUGCUGUCUUGGCAGAAGGGAAAGCUGAGAGGCAGCAGGCCAGCUCACAUCCAAGAACCUCGGAAGAGCUCAGGAAUUGAAGACAGGAUCUCACUCUAUUGUUCAGGGUAGAGUGCAUUGGUGAGUUGUUAGGCUAAAAUGAGACCAUAGCUGUGAAUAUCCUUUGGCAGGAAAGGGCCACAGCUCCUCCCACCUGUUUUAUUGUUCCUGCUGGACUU
rnacentral:lncRNA from 1 species